UACGUAGGGUGCGAGCGUUAAUCGGAAUUACUGGGCGUAAAGCGUGCGCAGGCGGCUUUGCAAGACAGAUGUGAAAUCCCCGGGCUCAACCUGGGAACUGCAUUUGUGACUGCAAGGCUAGAGUACGGCAGAGGGGGAUGGAAUUCCGCGUGUAGCAGUGAAAUGCGUAGAUAUGCGGAGGAACACCAAUGGCGAAGGCAAUCCCCUGGGCCUGUACUGACGCUCAUGCACGAAAGCGUGUGGAGCAAACAGG
rnacentral:rRNA from 1 species